rnacentral:rRNA from 1 species
UACGUAGGUGGCAAGCGUUGUCCGGAUUUACUGGGCGUAAAGAGCGCGCAGGCGGUCGUUCAAGUCGCGUGUGAAAGCCCCCGGCUCAACUGGGGAGGGUCACGCGAUACUGAUCGACUGGAAGGCAGGAGAGGGUAGUGGAAUUCCCGGUGUAGUGGUGAAAUGCGUAGAUAUCGGGAGGAACACCAGUGGCGAAGGCGACUACCUGGCCUGUUCUGACGCUGAGGCGCGAAAGCUAGGGGAGCAACAGGGGAUUAAGAAACCCG